rnacentral:rRNA from 1 species
UACGUAGGGUGCAAGCGUUGUCCGGAAUUAUUGGGCGUAAAGAGCUCGUAGGCGGUCUGUCGCGUCUGCUGUGAAAACUCAGGGCUUAACCCUGAGCUUGCAGUGGGUACGGGCAGACUAGAGUGCGGUAGGGGAGACUGGAAUUCCGUGGUGUAGCGGUGAAAUGCGCAGAUAUCGAGGAGGAACACCGGUGGGCGAAAGGCGGGUCUCUGGGCCGUAACUGACGCCUGGAGGAGCGAAAGCAUGGGGAGCGAACAGG